rnacentral:rRNA from 1 species
CGGGUACAACGAGUCGCAAGACCGCGAGGUUUAGCAAAUCUCUUAAAGCCGUUCUCAGUUCGGAUUGUAGGCUGCAACUCGCCUACAUGAAGUCGGAAUCGCUAGUAAUCGCGGAUCAGCAUGCCGCGGUGAAUACGUUCCCGGGCCUUGUACACACCGCCCGUCACACCAUGAGAGUUUGUAACACCCAAAGCCGGUGGGGUAACCUUUUGGAGCCAGCCGUCUAAGGUGGGACAGAUGAUUGGGGUGAAGUCGUAACAAGGUAGC